rnacentral:rRNA from 1 species
GACGAACGCUGGCGGCGUGCCUAAUACAUGCAAGUCGAGCGAUGAAGCUUGGUGCUUGCACCAAUUUGAAGAGCAGCGGACGGGUGAGUAACGCGUGGGUAAUCUGCCUUUGAGCGGGGGACAACAUUUGGAAACGAAUGCUAAUACCGCAUAACAACUUUAAACAUAAGUUUUAAGUUUGAAAGAUGCAAUUGCAUCACUCAAAGAUGAUCCCGCGUUGUAUUAGCUAGUUGGUUAGGUAAAGGCUCAACCAGGCGAUGAUACAUAGCCGAACUGAGAGGGUGAUCGGCCACAUUGGGAAUGAGACACGGCCCAAACUCCUACGGGAGGCAGCAGUAGGGAAACUUCGGCAAUGGAGGAAAGUCUGAACGAGCAACGGCGCGUGAGUGAAGAAGGUUUUCGGAUCGUAAAACUCUGUUGGUAGGGAAGAACGUUGGUGAGAGUGGAAAGCUCAUCAAGUGACGGUAACUACCCAGAAAGGGACGGCUAACUACGUG